AGGCGUGAUGACGAGGCACUACGGUGCUGAAGCAACAAAUGCCCUGCUUCCAGGAAAAGCCUCUAAGCAUCAGGUAACAUCAAAUCGUACCCCAAACCGACACAGGUGGUCAGGUAGAGAAUACCAAGGCGCUUGAGAGAACUCGGGUGAAGGAACUAGGCAAAAUGGUGCCGUAACUUCGGGAGAAGGCACGCUGAUAUGUAGGUGAAGUCCCUCGCGGAUGGAGCUGAAAUCAGUCGAAGAUACCAGCUGGCUGCAACUGUUUAUUAAAAACACAGCACUGUGCAAACACGAAAGUGGACGUAUACGGUGUGACGCCUGCCCGGUGCCGGAAGGUUAAUUGAUGGGGUCAGCGCAAGCGAAGCUCUUGAUCGAAGCCCCGGUAAACGGCGGCCGUAACUAUAACGGUCCUAAGGUAGCGAAAUUCCUUGUCGGGUAAGUUCCGACCUGCACGAAUGGCGUAAUGAUGGCCAGGCUGUCUCCACCCGAGACUCAGUGAAAUUGAACUCGCUGUGAAGAUGCAGUGUACCCGCGGCAAGACGGAAAGACCCCGUGAACCUUUACUAUAGCUUGACACUGAACAUUGAGCCUUGAUGUGUAGGAUAGGUGGGAGGCUUUGAAGUGUGGACGCCAGUCUGCAUGGAGCCGACCUUGAAAUACCACCCUUUAAUGUUUGAUGUUCUAACGUGGACCCGUGAUCCGGGUUGCGGACAGUGUCUGGUGGGUAGUUUGACUGGGGCGGUCUCCUCCUAAAGAGUAACGGAGGAGCACGAAGGUUGGCUAAUCCUGGUCGGACAUCAGGAGGUUAGUGCAAUGGCAUAAGCCAGCUUGACUGCGAGCGUGACGGCGCGAGCAGGUGCGAAAGCAGGUCAUAGUGAUCCGGUGGUUCUGAAUGGAAGGGCCAUCGCUCAACGGAUAAAAGGUACUCCGGGGAUAACAGGCUGAUACCGCCCAAGAGUUCAUAUCGACGGCGGUGUUUGGCACCUCGAUGUCGGCUCAUCACAUCCUGGGGCUGAAGUAGGUCCCAAGGGUAUGGCUGUUCGCCAUUUAAAGUGGUACGCGAGCUGGGUUUAGAACGUCGUGAGACAGUUCGGUCCCUAUCUGCCGUGGGCGCUGGAGAACUGAGGGGGGCUGCUCCUAGUACGAGAGGACCGGAGUGGACGCAUCACUGGUGUUCGGGUUGUCAUGCCAAUGGCACUGCCCGGUAGCUAAAUGCGGAAGAGAUAAGUGCUGAAAGCAUCUAAGCACGAAACUUGCCCCGAGAUGAGUUCUCCCUGACCCUUUAAGGGUCCUGAAGGAACGUUGAAGACGACGACGUUGAUAGGCCGGGUGUGUAAGCGCAGCGAUGCGUUGAGCUAACCGGUACUAAUGAACCGUGAGGCUUAACCUUACAACGCCGAAGGUGUUU
rnacentral:rRNA from 1 species